UACGGAGGGUGCAAGCGUUAUCCGGAUUCACUGGGUUUAAAGGGUGCGUAGGCGGGUUGGUAAGUCCGUGGUGAAAUCCCCAAGCUUAACUUGGGAACUGCCGUGGAUACUAUCAAUCUUGAAUAUCGUGGAGGUAAGCGGAAUAUGUCAUGUAGCGGUGAAAUGCUUAGAUAUGACAUAGAACACCAAUUGCGUAGGCAGCUUACUACAGGAUGAUUGACGCUGAGGCACGAAAGCGUGGGGAGCAAACAGG
rnacentral:rRNA from 1 species